rnacentral:piRNA from 1 species
UNGGACAUGCACCUGUGCGGACGGGCUGC